rnacentral:rRNA from 1 species
AUUCCAGCUCCAAUAGCGUAUAUUAAAGUUGUUGCAGUUAAAAAGCUCGUAGUUGAAUUUCUGGUGGGAGUGUACAGUCCGACACUGAGUGUUGGUUCUUGUGUGUCUCCGGCCAUCCUUGGAGUGAAUCUGUCUGGCAUUUAGUUGUUGGGCAGAGUAUCUCCAUCGUUUACUGUGAGGAAAGGAAAGUGUUCAAAGCAGGCUUACGCCGUUGAAUCUUUUAGCAUGGAAUAAUAAGAUAGGAUCUUGAUACUAUUUUGUUGGUUUGCGUGUCGAGAUAAUGAUUAACAGGGACAGUCAGGGGCACUCGUAUUCCGCCGAGAGAGGUGAAAUUCUCAGACCAGCGGAAGACGAACACUGCGAAAGCAUUUGCCAGGGAUGUUUUCAUCG